rnacentral:lncRNA from 1 species
UAUGAGACUUUCCCAAAAUUUACACUUUAGGUAUGACUCUGGGACGAAAAAAACUUGAUGUACUAAAUGUUGAAAACCACGAAACAUGAGGGUGGUAAACAGUCUUUUACCCUAAAAAUUAAAAGUAAGAACCAAAUAGUUUUACAUCGAAUUGGAUGUGGUCUGGAUUCAUGGGUCCAAGGACUUGUAUGCCCACACUUAUACAACUCAUACUGUUUAUCUUAAAGUU